rnacentral:rRNA from 1 species
CUACGGGCCGCACCAGCCGAGAAUCUUCCACAAUGGACUAACGUCUGAUGGAGCGACGCCGCGUGCGGGAAGAAAGUCUUCGGACUGUAAACCGCUUUUAUAGGGGAGCAAUUUUUGAGCGUACCCUAUGAAUAAGAGGUUGCUAACUCUGUGCCAGCAGCCGCGGUAAUACAGAGACCUCAAGCGUUAUCCGGAUUUAUUGGGCGUAAGGGUCCGUAGGGGGUUUAAUAAGCUGAAUGUAAAAUCUCUCAGCCUAACUGAGAGAGCGCAUUCAGAACUAUUAGACUAGAGCACAUCAGAGGCCAUUGGAACUCACGGUGUAGGGGUGGAAUCCGUUGAUAUCGUGGGGAACACCAAAGGCGAAGGCAUUUGGCUGGGGUGUUGCUGACCCUGAGGGACGAAAGCUAGGGUAGCGAAUGGGAUUAGAUACCCCGGUAGUC